CCAGCUCCAAAUAGGCAAAUACCACAACGCAAUACAAUACAUACAAGCAACAUUCGCAAGAAAAUUCGAUUCCCUUCAAAACCCUUUUCUUUCUCUGACUUUUAUUUUUAUUUAUUUUUUUCUAUUUCAAAAUUUAUUUUUAUUCUUUCUCACAGUCCCUUCUCAGUUCUCACAGCCACACCAAUUUCAACAGGUUAAUUUGGUAUGGCAGGAAGAAACCGUGGUCCCCGUGAAGCAUUUAAUGAUCGUCGUGGUUACCCACCUGAGGGACCUUUCAUCCGGGGUCCUCCAAUGCCGAGGCCUCCUCCUCAUCCUGCUUUAUUGGAGGAAGAGCUUGAAAUGCAGCACACUGAGAUCCGAAGGCUCUUGGGUGAUAAUCGAAGGCUGGUUGAAGACCGUAUGGCACUGCAUCGUGAACUUGGCGCUACCAAGGAGGAACUUCACCGCAUGAAUCUCAUCAUUGCUGACAUUCGUGCAGAACAAGAAAUGCGCUCUAGGGAGCUUAGGGAGAAAACCAUGAAGCUUGAGGCUGAUCUUCGAGCUACUGAACCAUUGAAAAAUGAGGCUGUACAACUUCGCUCAGAAGUUCAAAAGCUGAAUAGCCUUAGGCAGGAGCUUUCAGGGAAAGUUCAGAGCCUCACACAAGACCUUUCAAAAUUGCAAGCUGAUAAUCAACAUAUUCCUCAUUUAAGGGUAGAGAUUGAUGGGCUGCACCAGGAGGUUAUGCAUACUAGAGCUGCGCUUGAUUAUGAAAAAAAGGCAAACAUUGAGCUGAUGGAACAGAGACAGACAAUGGAGAAGAACUUGGUUUCCAUGGCCCGUGAAGUUGAGAAGCUACGUGCAGAACUUGCAAAUGCUGAUAGUAGGCCAUGGGGUGCUGGUGGACCAUAUGGGAUGAAAUUUAGCAGCUCAGACGGCGUUUUCCCUAAUCCUUAUGGGGAUGGAUAUGGAGCUCAUCUGGGUGCUGCUGACAAAGGUCCUCUGUAUGGUCCGGGUCCAGCUGCAUGGGGAGGACCUGAGAAGCCUCGCAUGACUCGUCGUUGAGAUUUGGGUGAUUACUGUUCGAAUGGAGCGAUGCCUUACCUGUCUCUUUCGAUCUCCGUUAUCCGAAUACAUUAUGGUAUGUUGGUGCCUUUUGUGGAUGAUUAAAAAAGAGAGAGAGAGAAAAGGAUGUCACAUGAACUUAUCCAGUGCCUGGCUAAAGGAAAUUCAUGUUUGGUGUUGCAGUUGUAGGGUUGAAAGCAAUUUUCAUGUGUUAUUGCCCCCUUACGGAGGUGUUCUGCAAGGUGCUGAAAACCCUUUUAGUGAGAAGCAUUCCAUUUUGACCACAUUUCUGGAGAAGCAGCAAUUAGCUGCUUCUGAAAAUUGCUAGUCUUAAUGAAUUUUCUUGAGACCCCAGUUUCACCUUCGUCCUUUUUCAUUAAAUCCCACACAAUUACCUACAUAAUACCCUGUUCUUCCACCGUCCCUUAUUUUUCCCAUCGCCAGCAUCCUUUUUGUGCGUGCACUGUUACUGAUCCCACCGCUUCAUUUCUAUAUUUCAAUGCCAUAGAAUGAAAAACUCCUUUGCAAGAAUAUGUCAAAACAUUCUGAAGAUUUGAUUUCCUAGCUUGUUAGUGGAAUCUGUAUUAUUUCUGAAUCCAAUGUGAUACUGGAGUUGAUCAUAAACAUGAGUUGUUAUUUUAUUCUGAAGUUAGAGAUGGUUCAAGAAGGGAAGAGCACCGGUAGCAAUAGUAUUGACUAUUGAGCCAAAAAGACAGCAAUGGUGAUACCAGCUAGUGCUGUUGUAAGUUGGGAGUGUUUCAAUUGGUAUUGAGGAGGUCAGGCCCUUGGGUGUGGUUUUGACGAUGAGAGGUUUGCAUGGGUGAUCAGGCUGUUCAGGCACUUGGCUAUGGUAGCUAUGGUUCCUGACAUUGCUGUCUGCUUUUGUUGGGCUUAGUUUUUGCGGAUCUUGAACUUAGCAGAGGUAUUGGGAAGCUUGGGUUGGGGGGCUAAUUUAAAAGAAAAGAGAUGGGCUUCAGUGGUUACCAUUGGCGGAAGAAUAUUGGUAAAUGUUGUUUGUUUUAUAAGUGGUUCACUCUUUAAAACUGAUCGAGUCAAUUUAGAUUAAAUAAAUUAUACAAAUUCCUGGUCUA